GGCCUCUCAGGGUCACACCUGGAGAGCUUCCAGGACUCUACCAGUCUUGGCUAAAGGUGGGAGGGUCGAGCAGAGGCCCGUCCAUUCCAUUCCUAGCUUGGACAGUGGCUAGCAAGUGGAAAGACAUUCUGCUACAAGU